AUUGAACGCUGGCGGCAUGCCUUACACAUGCAAGUCGAACGGCAGCACGGGAGCAAUCCUGGUGGCGAGUGGCGAACGGGUGAGUAAAGUAUCGGAACGUGCCCAGUCGUGGGGGAUAACGUAGCGAAAGUUACGCUAAUACCGCAUACGAUCUAUGGAUGAAAGCGGGGGAUCGCAAGACCUCGCGCGAUUGGAGCGGCCGAUAUCAGGUUAGGUAGUCGGUGGGGUAAAGGCUCACCAAGCCGACGAUCUGUAGCUGGUCUGAGAGGACGACCAGCCACACUGGGACUGAGACACGGCCCAGACUCCUACGGGAGGCAGCAGUGGGGAAUUUUGGACAAUGGGCGCAAGCCUGAUCCAGCCAUGCCGCGUGCAGGAUGAAGGCCUUCGGGUUGUAAACUGCUUUUGUACGGAACGAAAAGGUUUGACUUAAUACGUUGGACUCAUGACGGUACCGUAAGAAUAAGCACCGGCUAACUACGUGCCAGCAGCCGCAGUAA
rnacentral:rRNA from 1 species